rnacentral:lncRNA from 1 species
GUGGAGGUAAGGAUACUCGGAUAGUGAAUAGGCGCGUGAGGACUAAACAUUAGUAUCCAAAAACAGAAUGGCACGGUCAUGGCACAAACGCCGUGUGUGUAUCUCCGACUCUGGAAACUUCCUUGAUCCUUCGUUGUUAUGGUCCCUCUACUCUGUCCUAACUUUGACGGAAAGCUAACGUUUUUCAUACGCGUGUUUCAUCAUGCACUAUCCAAAGGCCCCCUUUUUUUUAAUCCUUU